GUAUAGUAUUUUUAGUAUAGUAUUUUAUUUUAUAGUAUUUUAAAGUAAAUUCAAAAAGACUUACCAGUUAGCCCGACCUCCUCGCUCACCUUCAGCCAAGCCUUGGUCUUGACCGUCCGGUCCUUAUAACUUGCCAAGGUGGUGUUGAAGAUCACCGGGUAUGAUGAGACUGCAAUAAUAAUCUUCUCCUCCAUUUUAGCGGUUUGAUCAGGAUCAGGUAGUGAUCUCAAGGUCACUCCAAGGGAGUAACACUGAUUGGCUGUUACGGCAUGUCACUCAGUGGCAACCACCGCUGGACUGGGCAUAGGGCAUGGCGGGCAUAUGCCCGGUGGCCUGAAGCCUUUUAUUUAUUUUUUUAUUCAUGCCAAACUCGCGUCUAACGUAGCAGGCCACGUUAACUUCAAUGCAGGCCACAUUAACGUCAAUUCAAGUUAAUGCAAGUUAAACUGGCAGAUCUGCCCUUUAUCAUGAUUGAUUGAAGCCUGGGCCAAUGAGGUGAGGGGCAGGCCAAUUUCGCCUACCCCUCCAUCUCAGUUGGUGACUUGGUUGGUUAGCCACUGCUAGCAGGAAGAUCGAAAACGGGCAAUAUGGACCCUAGUUGGAAGAAAAGAAAGGGUGGCGCUGAAAGAGCCAGGGACCAGAAAAAAGCAGCCCUUCAGGCAGAUGCUACGAAAUGCCUAAACAUAGCUGAUAUGUUUGCUGCUCGUGGACAUGGAGCCUCCACAUCUGCAGCAGCAGCAUCAACAGGUAGUGGAGGAGAAGAUGCUCGACAGCAGGUGGACGAGGCGGCCAUGACGGUUCCCAUGCUUAAGGAGUGCUGGGUGUUGCUGCUGAGAAGAGGCAGAUGGGGUAGCAUCAGCAUCUCUCCCACUUGUUGGAUUGUGUGUGUGUGUGUGUGUGUGUGUGUGUGUGUGUGUGUGUGUGUGUGUGUGUGUGUGUGUGUGUGUGUUCUGGUCCAUUUGAAAGCUCUCAUUGGUUUGCAUGCUGCAUGUAAGUUACCCAUUCCUUUUCGUUUUAAUGUUUGUUUUAUUGAUAUUCAUAUUCUUAAUAUACAGUAUAAUUGUGUAUUUAUUUACUUUAUUUUUUCUAUUUAUUUUGUACAGUUAAGUUAAGCAAUUUAUUUUAUUUUGUACAGUUAAGUAAUUAUUGACUCAUUGUAAAUAUAAGUGUUUAACUUCAAUUGUUAUGUGUGUCAUCACUUUUUAUUUUAUAUUCAAAAUUAAAUGGAUGAAAAUCCUAUUCUUUCCAAGUCCUGGCAUAAUUUCCCACACCUAACAUUUUAUUUUGUAUUGACAGUUGAUUAGCAACACAAAUUGGUAAUAAGAGAAAUCCUUGCUGUUACUUGUAGCUUGUAGUGAGAUAAACAUCUUGUGGCCUUUUUGUGUAUUGCAAUUUUAGGUCAGCCUUUGCAUCCAGUCAUUGGUACAGUCAUCCAGUCAUUUCUUGCUUUAAUAAUGCAUUGUAUCACACAAGUAAUGAUAUAUUAUUCAUAGUUUAGCCUACAGUAUUACAUUUAUUAUAAUUAUAUUAACUAAAAUGAAUUAAUUAAUAUUUAAUAUAAUUCCUUUACUUAAAUUUAAGUAACAAGGUUGAAAGAAAUGACAUGUCUAAAAAGUAAUGUGACCUACGGUCAAUAGAUCAUACUUUUGAUAAGCCUAACAGUAUUUUGGGAGAACUUUUCAUAAUGCUUCUCAUAGUGUUAAAAUGUUUGUCUCCUAGUGCACAUUGAUCGUUUAAGGCAGUGAUUCCCAACAAGGGGUAUAUGGUACAUAUACCACCUGAGGUGCGCAAGCAAACUGCAGGGGGUAUGUGGAUAAAUUAACGAAUGUGUGCAGCAUAGUCAUUGCAUGAGUGAAGGGGUACUCAUGGUGUGACAAAAAGGCUUAAGGGGUACGCAUGUCAAUAGCAGUUGGGGAAAAAACCCACGCUAUCACACAGCGCGCUUACAUUUUUCCCCGUCAAUACCUGGUGGUGGCCUGCUCUUGGUUAAAAAUGCCCGGCCUGAAAAAUUUCCCCAGUCCAGCCCUGGUGGCAACGCCUCAGUGGCAACGCUGUUGAACGCUGAUUGGCUGUCAUCGCCCGUGCCCGGCAGUGGACACGGGCAUGCCGCGCCGCAAAUCAGAUUUUGACACGCCGCAAAUCAAGUUUUGCUGCCUGUUUUCUCGGCAGCAAAUGCUGCGGCAGCAAAGCAGCAACGCGUCUCUACAUUCACUUUGAAUGGGAUCACGACGCGCGUCAACUUUUUGCAUCUUUUGGUGUGAACGCAGGGUUAGGAAUAAAAUGUAUUCAAAAUCUGUCUGGCACGUUUUAUGAAGAAAACGUUUCCAAAAAGCAUCGGACAUAUGACCCACUAUGUUCUGCUCCAUUUAUCCAAUGUUGACAACGUGACAUGACAUGGCUAAGCUAACAACAAAAACAAGGGGAGCUAGUGUGGCAGGUUGAGUGUUGCUCCUCCUCCACUCAGGUGAUUUCUGGUGGGCAGAUUGCAGAUUGGUUUCACCUGUAUAAGUGCUGCGCCUUCUCUGGCGCGCACACUGCUGCCUGGCACUCGUGGCGAAGACUCGGUGUGGCGUCUGUUAGUUGUUGGUUUGUUGUCGGUUGGUGUGGCGUGCUUCAGUCAUUUGAAGCGUUGUUGGCCGUGUUGUUCGGGGGCGGCAUUGUGAAGAGUGAGGGGAGUGUGGCAUCCGCUCUGUACUGUUGCCGCAGCCGGUGAUCAGUUUCGGGGGCGUAAAGCUCUCUUCGUUCGGCUGUUGGAGCCGCAGCGGUGCUUUUGCUUUUCUUCCUCCUCCUGUGCUCUGGUGAAGCUGCCCUGCACGGCUCUGUGACGUAGCCUACACCUGGCGAUCCCAAACGUAAACCAUCCACGGCCUCCGGUCCUGGGGCGGUCGCUCUGUCUUCGCCAGCCACUCCGUCUUCUCCAUCCACUCCGUCGUCUUCAUCAUCUUCGGCUGCUCCGGCACCGUUGCCUUUUUCCACACAGUCCGAUGUGGCGGUUGCAUUCCCACGCAGCGCUAAGUUUUCAGUCCCACCACAACUCUUAUUGGUUUGGUUAAUUGUCUGCUUUUCCUUUCAUCUUUUUGUGUUUGUGUUCUUUAGUUUAUUUGUUUGGGUUAAAUCCUAUACAUACAUAUAUUUUUGUGUUGCGUUUUGUUGACCCAUUUGGGGUUAAGCAUAUCAAUAUUUUCUUAUUAUUUCUGAUCUAUUGCUUUGGGGUUCAACUGAUUAUUUUCUGUUUAGUUUAACAUAGCUGUUGGGUUUGUGUUUGGGGUGUUAAAUACGCCUGGCCCCCACCCACAGUUAAAUUUCGUUUGUUUCCUUAUUACUUGUCUUAAGAAUUAGUUGGGUUUCUGUAUAUUUGUAUUUGGGUUUAAAUAUUUGGUUAUGAGUCAGUUCUGUUCCUGUGUGUGGGUGUGAGUGCUGUGUGUGUGUGUAUGUGUGUGUUUUAUUAUAGUCCUCUGUUUUAAAUGAUUGUCGUAACAACCUGAGUGUCUCACCACAACAGUAGUGUAAUUUUUGUGUUUCUUUCUUGUGUUUCCAGGACAGGAGCUGGUGCAGCGGGCGGCAGGCUUGGUUUGUAGUGGUUCUUUUAUGGUUUUGAGUUGAUUUAGUCUGACCGCCUCGCUACAGCCUAGCUCUGUGCCUGUUGUAUUUAUUUCUACUUUGGGGUUUUGACUUGACACUUCAGUGGUUGUUGAGAUCCCUGAGCUCUUUUAAUUCUGCUUACUGUAAAUAAAUAAAAUUAUAUCUUUUGUAAGUCCGUCUCUCGCCCUUUAUACAAAACGUGCAACGAAUCUGUGUGACCUCUGGUUGGCCAAAGUACAGGGCCAAGGUUGUAUUUCCUGGGGUGCAAUUCCCCAGGUGGCGUUGUCGAGCAACUUUCCCCCCCCUUCUCUCCAUUCCGCCACACUAGGAAAGGAAAUUAACUGCGUGUUUAAGUUCAGAAGGGCCAAACGUGUGGCUACACUACAAAAGUCAUCAAGAUUAGAAAAGAAAAAAAUAUUUGUUGCACAGCUGAACACUGUAUCACAUCAUGGCUGGCUGUUCUCAAUUCACAUCACGCAUUUCAUCAAAACUAGGGGGGUCAUCCCUAUGUUCCCCGGGUCCUAUGUUCCCCGGGUCCUAUGUUCCCCGUUUUUCCCAAAAAGGGUCCUAUGUUCCCCUGUAGCCAUAAAUACCGGGGAGCAUAGGACCCUUUUUGGGAAAAGCGGGGAACAGAGGACCAUUUUCUGGGAAAAGGGUCCUAUUUUUCCCCGCAAUCUAUCAAUCUUUAAAAAUAUUUAAACUUUGACGCGACAUUCGCGUGAUGACAGCCAAUCGGCGUUCAACAGCAUGGCCACUGAGUGACAUGUGUAACGUAACAGCCAAUCAGCGUUCAACCGGCCAACUCAGUGCAGUGCAGUCCGGGGUGAACUGCAGCAUGGAGGAGAAAGUGAUUGUUGCCGUUUACGACUCCCGGAGCUCUUUAUAUAAUAGUAUAUAAUAUAAUAUAAUUGUAUAAUGAUAUCACGGCCAAAAGCUCUGUGCGCC
ensembl:lncRNA